GGCGACGUAGCUCAGUUGGUCAGAGCGAGCGACUCAUAACCGCUAGGUGGCUGGUUCGAAUCCAGCCGUCGCCA
rnacentral:tRNA from 1 species